rnacentral:rRNA from 1 species
GAUGAACGCUGGCGGCGUGCUUAACACAUGCAAGUCGAACGGAAAGGCCCUGCUUUUGUGGGGUGCUCGAGUGGCGAACGGGUGAGUAACACGCGAGUAACAUGCCCCUGAAUUUGGGAUAACACCAGGAAACUCCGGCUAAUAUCCGAUAGGAGCUCCUGAUGCAUGGGGGGGGUUGGAAAAAUUCGGCGGUUGGGGAUGGACUCGCGGCUUCUCAGCUGGUUGGUGGGGUAGUGGCUUACCAAGGCUUUGACGGGUAGCCGGCGUGGGAGGGUGACCGGCCACAUUGGGACUGAGAUACGGCCCAGACUCCUACGGGAGGCAGCAGUGGGGAAUAUUGCACAAUGGGCGGAAGCCUGAUGCAGCAACGCCGCGUGCGGGAUGACGGCCUUCGGGUUGUAAACCGCUUUCGCCUGUGACGAAGCGUGAGUGACGGUAAUGGGUAAAGAAGCACCGGCUAACUACGUG